UUUUUUUUUUUUGUUUGUUUGUUUUUUGAUACAGAGUUUCACUCUUGUUGCCUAGGGUGGAGUACAAUGGCGUGAUCUCAGCUCACCACAAGCUCUGCCUCCCGGGGUCAAGCGAUUCUCCCCAGUAGCUGAGAUUACAGGCAUGCGCCACCACGUCCGGCUAAUUUUGUAUUUUUAGUAGUGAUGGGGUUUCUCCGUGUUGGUCAGGCUGGUCUCGAACUCCUGACCUCAGGUGAUCCGUCUGCCUCAGCCUCCCAAAGUGCUGGGAUUACAGGAGUGAGCCACCGAGCCUGGCCGCUUCCGGUCUUUGGAUUUGAUUUUCCUCAAGUGUAAUUGAAAGCAGGGGCCUGGAUGGCCGCCAUAGUCCCUCCCAGCUUCGACAUUACACAUUCCUGCCAAUCCAUUUUUCAGGCUGAUAACAUUGUUCAGAGUUUAAUGGGAGCAGGGUAAGAUAGUCACCGUGUGGAGCAAAAAUUGAAGGAAAUAUUCCAGAUGUCAUGAUUUUUUACCUGUAGCCCCUCUGCUGCCACACCCUUGUGCACAUCCUCCAGACACUUUUAAAGAAUAAACUCUAUUUUCAGAAGAGUUUUAGAUUUACAGGAGAAUUGUGAAAACAGUUCAAAAAGUUCUCAUAUACCCUGCUCCCAGUUUUCCCUGUUACUAACGCUUUGCAUUAGUGUGGCACAUUUGCCACAAUUAAUGGACCAAUAUUGAUACAUUAUUAUUUACUGAAGUUGAAACAUUACUUUAGUUUUUACCUGGUCCAGGAUCCCAUCUGGGAUCCCACAUCACAUUUAGUGAUCAUGUCUUCUUAGAUUGCCCUGGGCUGUGCCGCUUUCUCAGACUCUCCUGGUUUGUGAUGACAUUGACAGUCUUGAGUUUUGAUGACCAGUUUUGACUGGUCAGGUAUUUCAUAGAACGUACCUCUGUGAGGGUUGUCUGAUUCUUCUUCUUAUUAGAUUGGGAUUAUGGAGGAAGGCCACAGAGGUAAAGUUCCGCUUUUAUGAAAUCAAGGGUAGGCACCAUCAGCAUGACCUAUCACUGAUGUUGACUUUGAUUACCUGGCUGCUGUAGUGGUUGUCAGGUUUGUCCACUUUAAAGAUACUUUUGUGUUUUUGUUCUUUCUUAACUCCCUUUUUAUAUUAAACUCUUCAGAAGGAAGUCACUGUGCAUAGCCAUCCCCUAAGAAGAGGGCAUUCCUGCUCUUCCUUCUCCAUGGCUAGAGGAUCUACAUGAACUAUUUAGAUUUUUUCUACCUGGGAGAUUUAACUCCUCUCUCCUAUUUAUUUAUUUAUAUAUCAGCAUGGACUUGCAGAUGCUUAGGGCUUAUCUUGUAUAUUUCCAGCCCCAGUUAUAGAAUCAGCCAUUUCUUCAAGGAUCCCCUGUCAUUUUACUGGAGAAAGGACUUAGAAUCCAAGAUCUGGGUGCUAGAUGUGCUUGAGGUGUUGUUUCCUCCAGAUCUUCUCAACUGACAGAGCAGUGAAAUAUAUGUGUGUAGGGAGGAUGGGGAGAACAAUUUUUUUAACACAUAUGAAUACUUACCUGGCAGGGGAGAUACCAUGAUCACAAAGGUGGUUUCCCCAGGGUGAGGCUUAUCCAUUGCACUCCCGAUGUGCUGACCCCUGUGAUUCCCCCAAAUGUGGGAGACUUGACUGCAUAAUUUGUGGUAAUGGGGGACUGCAUUUACACUUUUCCCUGUAAAAAUUUUUAAAAAUAAAUAAAUACAUAAAUAAAUAAA
ensembl:lncRNA PVT1 Pvt1 oncogene